rnacentral:rRNA from 2 species
GGAUGCGAUCAUACCAGCACUAAAGCAUCGGAUCCCAUCAGAACUUCGAAGUUAAGCGUGCUUGGGCGAGAGUAGUACUUGCAUGGGUGACCUCCUGGGAAGUCCUCGUGUUGCAUUCC